rnacentral:snRNA from 1 species
GUCCCUGUCUACUAUCCAGCGA